GACCGCUCAGGUGACGUAGUGGUGAGAGCGUCCACUUCGAAUGCAGGAGGUCGUGGGUUCGAUCCCCAGCCGAGUCA